rnacentral:rRNA from 1 species
UACGUAGGGUGCAAGCGUUGUCCGGAAUUAUUGGGCGUAAAGAGCUCGUAGGCGGUUUGUCGCGUCGGCUGUGAAAUCCCGAGGCUCAACCUCGGGCCUGCAGUCGAUACGGGCAGACUAGAGUUCGGUAGGGGAGACUGGAAUUCCUGGUGUAGCGGUGAAAUGCGCAGAUAUCAGGAGGAACACCGGUGGCGAAGGCGGGUCUCUGGGCCGAUACUGACGCUGAGGAGCGAAAGCGUGGGGAGCGAACAGG